CCCAGUACUGAGCAUCUCUGUGGGUGGUUGGCAGGGUGCUCACAGCAGAUAAUAAUCAGUCGUCUUCUCCCAUUUCUCCUUUCCUCCUCGCCUCCCGACCUCGUUCCUUCCUUCUCUCUCUCCAUUUCUCUCUCUGUGUGUCUCUUUCCCUCCUUGUGACCCUCAGGUGUGCCCACUAGUCUGCAGCCUCCUUGAAAGCCUGGAUGCAGAGUAUGUUAAGAACCAUACUGAAGAGGUUUAUAGACUCCAACAGGAAAACCCACAAAACAGAUGAGGAAAACAGCUGUGAAGCCUGCCUACUGACUGGUUCCAGGACUUGACUGAAUCUCUGUACCAUCUCCCUCUGGCACGGUCAGUGCUGCCACCAUCCCCCAGGAGUGACAACUGAGCCCAAUCAAAGGACACCUCUCAGAUACUCAUGCUCACAGUCAGGACACCCUAUGCUCGUCACCCUCCACCCCCAGCAAUAAAGAGCCAUUUCUGCACCUCC
ensembl:lncRNA